rnacentral:lncRNA from 1 species
GUUAGAGCUUGAAGGACGGCGGCGGCAGCGGCGGCGGCGGCGGCGGCGGGCGCAGCCCCGGAACGGCGGCCAGACAAGCAGUGGAAGUGCCUUGGUGACCCGUGUCCUGCCCUCUGCCUGGACGCACCCUCUUCCUCUGGGCCCUGAGAUGAGGAUGUGACGCCUGUGACCCCCCCAGGGAGGAAUCCCCCAGCCCCGGCCUCUCAGACGUGCCAGGGCAUGGGCGGGCCCUGAGCCAGAGCAGGACCGGCUGGAGCUGGCGCACACCGAGGCCGAUGGGGAGGGAGGCCGCGGUCCCGGCAGGACGCAGGUGGACGGCGAGAGGCCGCUGGCUGUGAGCGAGGCGCUCCCGCAGCCCCCGCACGGUGCGGCCAUGCGGUUUGGGACAGGACACCCCUGAGAGCGCCGACGCCCCCUCCUCCCGCCCCUCUGUCCCUUCAGGGGCUGCUGCCGCCCAGCGCCCCCCCCUGCCCCCGACCCCGUCCCCCCGGGCAGGCUGAGCGGGGG